GUCGAAGGUGGGGCUGAUGACUGGGGUGAAGUCGUAACAAGGUAUCCGUACCGGAAGGUGCGGAUGGAUCACCUCCUAACAGGGAGACAAACAACGAUUUUGAUGCCUAAGUACUUUUAUUCUUAGGCCGAAAUCCUGUCACCUUAGGUCGAUCGGUACCUCAGUGUUGAAGCAACAGAGUUAACAGAGAUGUUGAUGCGUGUUGUGGAGAUGAUCAGUUCCUAAACUUUGUCUAGGUCACACCCCACAAGGGUUGAGUUUUCCUGGGCCAUUAGCUCAGGUGGUUAGAGCGCACCCCUGAUAAGGGUGAGGUCCCUGGUUCAAGUCCAGGAUGGCCCAUUCGGUGUUGGGGGUUUAGCUCAGUUGGUAGAGCGCCUGCUUUGCAAGCAGGAUGUCAGGAGUUCGAGUCUCCUAACCUCCACUGACCGAACUCAAUCUCCGGUUUUACAUUGAUAAAUGGAGAACCACUCGAUUGUGAUGUGUGAUUUAGAUGUGUCCGCUGGAUGACCCCAGCUUCCUGUCAUUCCAAAUGACCAUGAUAGUGAUGAUUUUCAUGUGAUUUGGUUGAUAAGAUGCUGGGCUCGAAUCAAACAUUCAAGCAAUUGAUGGUUUGAUUUGAAGUCUGGCAGAACCUUGACAACUGCAUAGGUGAGUCUGGAUAAAACAAAGCAUCUUACAGAUGCAUUGUUUUGAAUUCUGUCUUCUGAAAGGGAGAUGGAUUCAGGACAAUGAAAAUUCUUUUGAGCAAGAGCCGAGACUCUUGAGCGUUCUUUAAUUCGUGUCGAGCGAAUCAGAGUUUGAUUUUGUUUUAGGAGUCAACGUAAGUUGAUGAUUAAAACUUGAGAAUCUGCUUUCAACGGCGGUAAUCGCUCAGGAGAUUAAUUGGUCAAGCUACAAAGGGCUCACGGCGG
rnacentral:misc_RNA from 1 species